AGGGUUCAAGUCCCUNUAUCCCCA
rnacentral:tRNA from 1 species